UGGUAGGCAUCUACCGGUUGGGAAAGGUGCAACUGCACCGCAGAUGGAGGAGCCCGCGGCGCAUUAGCUAGUUGGUGGGGUAACGGCCUACCAAGGCGACGAUGCGUAGCCGACCUGAGAGGGUGGACGGCCACACUGGGACUGAGACACGGCCCAGACUCCUACGGGAGGCAGCAGUAGGGAAUCUUCCGCAAUGGGCGCAAGCCUGACGGAGCAACGCCGCGUGAGCGAAGAAGGCCUUCGGGUUGUAAAGCUCAGUCACUCGGGAAGAGCGGACGAGGGAGUGGAAAGCCCUCGCCGAGACGGUACCGAGAGAGGAAGCCCCGGCUAACUACGUG
rnacentral:rRNA from 1 species